UAGUUUAGAAUGUUGAAAUUGUUGUCGGCAGGUGUGUGUGUGUGUGGAGUCUGCGACCCACAGGAGCCCGACGAGCGCCUGUGUUGCCAUUCUGUUGCCAGGGUGGUAGAAAUGUGCAACAGUGCCGUCGUGCAGUGCAUAACACAACACCCAUUACUCAGGGACAUCUGCCUCCGUAGGGAGCUUCUAGUGGUGUACGCGCCUCAAUUCUGCCGCUAUGAUCAACAUUUUAGGCGACUCAAUCCCCAGGACCACAGGAGACCCCGGAACUAAGAAAGGAAUGCACAGGCUUUGAACUCCAAGGUUGGGAUAGUGUCUGUUCUUCUGUUCUGGCCAUUGUCUUCCCAACACUGUGGGAGAUUUGGCAGCUGCCUAAGGUUCACGGCAUACUCGUCAUUCACGAGAUGGGUCUGGGGAUACCUUGGUCCAAGG